rnacentral:rRNA from 1 species
CCUACGGGAGGCAGCAGUGAGGAAUAUUGGUCAAUGGACGAGAGUCUGAACCAGCCAAGUCGCGUGAAGGAUGACUGCCCUAUGGGUUGUAAACUUCUUUUAUCAAGGAAUAAAACGAGGCACGUGUGCCCUUUUGCAUGUACUUUAUGCAUAAGGAUCGGCUAACUCAUUGCCAGCAGCCGCGGUAAUACGGAGGAUCCGAGCGUUAUCCGGCUUUGUUGGGUGUAAAGGGAGCGUAGAUGGGUUGUUAAGUCAGUUGUGAAAGUUUGCGGCUCAACCGUAAAAUUGCAAUUGAAACUGGCAGUCUUGAGUACAGUAGAGGUAGGCGGAAUUCGUGGUGUAGCGGUGAAAUGCUUAGAUAUCACGAAGAACCCCGAUUGCGAAGGCAGCUUACUAAACUGUGACUGACAUUGAUGCUCGAAAGUGUGGGUAUCAAACAGGAUUAGAUACCCGUGUAGUC